rnacentral:rRNA from 1 species
GCUAAGCCCUAAACAUUGAUAGCCCCAUUUACUAUGCUAUCCGCCAGAGAACUACUAGUGAAAAACUUAAAACUCAAAGGACUUGGCGGUGUCCCAUAUCGACCUAGAGGAGCCUGUCCUAUAAUCGAUACUCCCCGUUCCACCCAACCUUUACUCGCACAUUCAGCCUAUAUACCGCCGUCGACAGUCUACCCCAUGAGGGCCCUUAGUAGACAUAAUAGUAAUCACUCACUAGUACGUCAGGUCAAGGUGUAGCAAAUGUUAAGGAAGUGAUUGGCUACAUUUUUUAUUUUAAAACAAACGAAAUGCAACAUGAAAACCUGCACGAAGGUGAAUUUAGCAGUAAAAUGAACAAGAGAGUUCACUUUAACAUCGCUCUGGGACGCGC